UCUAUGUUGACUUUGUGAUAAAAGUACUAUCGAGUUCUUACACUAAUCUUUUGAAAUAGACUUUUCACCAUAGUAGUCUAUAAGAGAAAACAUUGUUUCUUUAAGUCAAUCACAAAUUUACCUGCAUCCUACACAUCAAACUUUAAAACAUUUUGUAAUUUCAAUAGCUUUAUAAUUUACACCUAAAAUCUUCUCAUCUGAAAAAAACAAAUCUUUAUUUGUUUUCAGGAGCAUCUUCUCAUACUUUAUAUUCAGAGAUGAUACUAUGUGCAAUAGUGUCAUCAGAACUAUAAGUUACUAUUUAUACUAUAAAAUUUUCAUUGAUUUCAUUGAUUCAUUCAUAUAUUUUCCAGUUGUUCAUGUGACAAAGAUCCAAAAGCAAUUGCAACAAAAGCAAAAAUGGACAAAAGGGACCUCAUUAAACUAAAGAGCUUCUGCACGGCAAAAGAAACUAUCAACAGAGUAAAAAGACAACUUACUAAAUGGGAGAAAAUGUUUGCAAACUAUGCAUCUGACAAAGAUUUAAUAUUCAGAAUCUAUAAGGA
rnacentral:lncRNA from 1 species